CACCGCGGUUAGACGAGAGGCCCCAGUUGAUAACACAACGGCGUAAAGGGUGGUUAAGGGUAAAUAAAAAUUAAAGCCAAAUGACCCCUUGGCCGUCAUACGCUUCUAGGCGUCCGAAGCCCUAACACGAAAGUAGCUUUAAACAAAUCAACCUGACCCCACGAAAGCUGAGAAA
rnacentral:rRNA from 1 species